rnacentral:misc_RNA from 1 species
GCUGAUUUUUCUCGCGUGAGACUCAUCUUCACCAAAUUUUUUACCUGCGCGCGUUCAUCCGCGGGAGGGAAAAAUCUCUUCUCUCUCGUUCCUAUCCGCCCGCCGCUCAAGCAGAAAAAUCUGCUCGCCCAUGUCCUAUUUCUCUCUGCGCUUCUCUCUAUUUACCGCACGCUCAGCCACUCUCUCCCGUGGGCACUUCUUCUUCCCCAGUGGAGGUCCCUACUCGACCUCGGCGUGGGGCUCUGGCCGCCGGCUGCGGCGCUCGCCGUACUCCUCUCCAGCCCAGCCGCUCCUCCUCCACGACCAUCUUCCUCUCCCUGCCAUGGCGUCCGGCCGCCUGUUCUUUCCCCUGUGCGCGCUCCAAUUUUUCCCCAUGCCACGCGCGCCCUUGCCUUCUUCCUCUGUUCGCUCGUGCACAGGCGCGCUCCAUUGGCUCGGCCUCUGUUCCUCCAUGGCUACGUCGCGCCGAUCCGCCUGCCCCUCUACUCGCUAGCGCCCCUCCCUGGCUCGCCGCGCCCGGGCUCCUCUAGUCGCGCCCCCGACUUUACCCAGCGCCCGUCGAAGCUCCUCUACCGGCUGCAAGCUCCUGCUCAAGCUCACCCUCGGCGCUCGCCCCUAAUGCCUGCGCUCAACUCCUCUCCCAUGGCCGUGUCACGCGUUCUGGGGUUCACCACGUCCAGCCAGCCCGCGCUCCUUUGGCCGGACAGCCCCAGCUCUCCAUUGCGGCUCACAGCUUCUUCCCCAACCGCGCCCUGCCCUCUGUUCUACUCUGCUCGCCUGCACACUUUUUCCCGGCGGGAGUUCGCGCUUUGUGGAGCCCGGUCCUUCCUGGUCGCAUGCCGAGUCCUUUGCAGUGCCGAGCUCCCAAUCAUGGCGCUACUGCUCCCAGCCGCGAGCUUGCCGAGCUCUACCCUCUCCCAUAGCGCCCAACCCGCUGCGCCGCGACGCCCCAGUUUGCCUAUCUCCAACCGCCGUGUCGCGAUCCCAGCUCACCCAGCGCGCUUCUCCCUGCCUGCGCGCCGCUGUUUUAGCCAUCUCUAGACUUCUAGAGUCGAGCUCCAUCUCUCAGCCACCCUCCCUGUGUCAACUCGAUGCCCAUGGCGCGUCCUGGAAGCUGCCUGUCGAGUCCAUCUUCUCCCUGCUACAGUGUUCAUCGGUGUCAAGCACCUGUGCCCCGGUCUUCUAAUUCGGCUGCAUGCCUUCCUAUUUCGGGAGCUGACCACUGUCGCACAUGUCCCGGGCCGUUCCUGCUCGUCUUCCUUUCAAAAUGACGCCACACUCCUUCCUGUUCAUCGCAGUCUAGCUCGCGUGUGUUACCGGAGCCGCUCGCCUCGCCCUCGCGUUCAUUGUAGAUGUCGUGACGUCGGUCGUCAAGAUCUGCUCAGCCGUCGUUCAUCUUUGUGCUCGCGUGGCUUUCUGUUCGCCAGCAUGCCCUCUCGGCUCGCUCGACCUUAAUCCCUAUCGCGUUGUCGACCUCGCCACGACUUAGUUCGUCCAUCGUGCUGGUCGUUGACCCCUACUGUGCCUAUUAGCUCGGAUCCUGCCCCAGCUUGUCAUCACGUCGUUCACAGUCGAGUCGUCAAAACCAUCAUCCCCAGCUCGAUCCCCACCUCACCAGCUCGCUCCAAACACGAUCUCGUCGUCGUUCCGCGUGUCAGCAAGAAAUCCCAAGAAUCGGGUGAAGACGAAGCUAGCAGCGUGGUGUUCACCAAGUGCGCGACAAAAAGCUUGGAUAUCCUGCGCGACUCAAGUUCAAUUCGUCAAAAUUAUUUAGUCGAAGAAAAGAUCUCCAGCAAUUGAUUACCAAAGAAAAGAAGGCCCCUGGAUGACGUCAACUGGAACCCGUAGUCGUGCUUGCGAUUAUCGCGUCGAAUUAGUCAGGGUAAGUUAAUUCGUAUCCCCGUUAACUAGGUCUGUAAAUAGAGUAAAUAGAAUUAUUGGUCUCAAUAAAUGUUAUUAAUUUAGCAUGCAUAUAUUGUGAUGAUCAAUUUUGAUAAAUUGAUAAAUCAAGUAAUUAAGAUACAUAGUUUAAAGAGUUAAUAAAAACCUAGGAAUAAAAAUAGAUUUUCUAGUGUAAUAUGUCAAUUUGGUUAAUGGAUGUAGUCGAUGCCCUGCUGUGAUAUCCAUGGUGCUCCAUUCUUGGUUUUAAGUGUUUCAUCCUUUUUAGCGUAUAUUAUCUAUAUUAUACGUUGUACUUGUGCUCAUACAUGUGCAUCAUGCAUCUCAUGAGGUAUGAUAAAUAAUCGCGUGAUGCGGAAGACAAGCCAAGUCGACCCCAAGCGCGGGCUAAUCUGCAGGAUGAUGCUGAUGAAUGAACCAGAAGAUGGAUAAUCUGAACGAGUGCCAAGCCAAAGGAUGAUCGCCAAGUGGUCGCCACCUAUCAACACUAACCUAGUGUUAUUCAGGUUAUAGUUUUGUGCUGCUGAUGAUGGUGUUAAGUGCUGGUGGGCUCGACCUUCUUAUAAGUCUAAGUACUUCUUCUAUACUUCUUAUUGAGGAUGGUCACUUGAGCUAGCAUAUAUUUCAAACUUAUGCUUUUGCAAUCACUUCGAUAAAAUAAUGUAAAAUUUUUGUAACUUGUAAAAUUUGGUAAUAAGAUUUCCGCUGCAAAAAUGUUGGUGUGUGAUUUAUAUUACUUAAUCCCGCGG